CAGCUGAGGAGGUUGGCAGGAAACUGCAGGGAGGAUGAGAAAAGUGGGAACAGGUGUGAAGAUGGAUGAGGCAGUCAGGUGAUGGAGGAAGGAGGGAAAGUCUGAGGGCAUCUGGUGUGUCUCUCUGUCACUACAUGGACUUGAGACAAAGAAAUCUGUCCACCUGUAACUGAUGAAGACUUCCAUGUCUUCUGGCUCUGCCCACAUGUCCAACAGGUCUGGUUGGAGUCUCGGUCUCAGCAUCCCCUCAUCCCUCAUCACUGCUUUACUUGUUCAAAAUGUCCACAUUACAAACACCUACAAACAUGUCAGACCUGCUGCUACCAGACUCUUCAGUGUCCUCUGCAUGUAAAUGUGUAGUUGGGUGGUGUCAGCAGUGAGGGGGAAACAGCAGGACAUGUUGAGGACAGCUACAGUCCACUGACUCUGUGUGUUUGCAUAUGUGUCCUGCCUCUGUGCUCCCAGCCGUUAAGAGGCCAGUGUUGAUCAGUGGCUGUCCAGGCCUUUCAGAGCCACUGACCUGCCGGCAGCACAAUGAUGAUGUCCCUGAUCCUACUGCUGCUCACCCUGGGGCUCCUUGUUCAGGAUUCAUCAGGAGAAAUCAUCCUGACUCAGUCUCCUCAGACUCAGUCUGUUGUUCCAGGACAGACUGUCUCCAUCAGAUGUAAAGCCAGUUCAAGUGUUAGUAGCAACCUGCACUGGUACCUUCAGAAAGUUGGAGAAGCUCCUCAACUGUUAGUUUAUUAUGCUACAACUCGUUACUCUGGAGUUCCUGAUCGUUUCAGUGGAAGUGGAUCUGGAACUGACUUCACUCUGACCAUCAGCGGAGUUCAGACUGAAGAUUCAGGAGUUUAUUGCUGUCAGCAGUCUAACAGCUGGCCGUUCACACAGUGAAACAGCGUCGUACAAAAACCUCCUCAGCAGGAGAGGAACUGAUCUGAAUCAACAGCUGCACUGAAACUGAAACACUAAUGGUUUAAAUAAAAUACAUUUUAGAUAAAAACAGGCAACAACAGAACAGUAAUGACUUUGAGGAUAAAAUUAGUUUGUGUAUUUCUUGUAAAUGCAAUAUUUUUUAUAUAACUUUAAUUCUUAAUUCAAGUUUGUUUUUGUGUUUUUAGAGCUACAGUAUUUGCAAUUGUGGUUCUUGGUAACAUCAUAACACAAAAUAGCUCUUUUUAUUUAGCUUUAUAUUGAGAAAGUCACAUCAGACAAUUAUCAAAGAGAUGUAACACAUGAAUUCAGAUUGUCAUCAACUGUAUGGUAUCAUGACAUUUUAUGACAUUCACUGUCUUCUUGUCACUUAAAAAGUUUGACUUUAAGUAAAGUUGUUUUGUCUCAUUUAAAAAUUCCUUGCAAAACAUUUCAAAUGAAAUUGACAUUAUAUGAUUUUAUGUGGAUGAUACGCAGCUCUUUAUUUAAAAUCCUGAAAAUACUUGUGAAUUACAAUUUUAUGUUAAGGUUUACAGAAUUAACGACAGAUUCAUAUGACAUAUGGAUGUUGUUGGAUAGACAAAAGUAACAACAUAAAGUUUCAAACUUUAGGUGAAACAGUCUUACCAUGUGUUUCAUCACCAAAUAUGAUUAAUUUAGAAAUAACUGGAAUGACCACAGAAGACAUCCACAGUCUUAAACUAUUAAAAAGUCAUCUGGAGUAAAUUGACUUC